rnacentral:rRNA from 1 species
GUAGGUGGCUAAUUAAGUCAAAUGUGAAAUCCCCGAGCUUAACUUGGGAAUUGCAUUCGAUACUGGUUAGCUAGAGUAUGGGAGAGGAUGGUAGAAUUCCAGGUGUAGCGGUGAAAUGCGUAGAGAUCUGGAGGAAUACCGAUGGCGAAGGCAGCCAUCUGGCCUAAUACUGACACUGAGGUGCGAGAGCAUGGGGAGCAAACAGGAUUAGAUACCCUGGUAGUCCAUGCCGUAAACGAUGUCUACUAGCCGUUGGGGCCUUUGAGGCUUUAGUGGCGCAGCUAACGCGAUAAGUAGACCGCCUGGGGAGUACGGUCGCAAGACUAAAACUCAAAUGGAUUGACGGGGGCCCGCACAAGCGGUGGAGCAUGUGGUUUAAUUCGAUGCAACGCGAAGAACCUUACCUGGCCUUGACAUACAGAGAACUUUCCAGAGAUGGAUUGGUGCCUUCGGGAACUCUGAUACAGGUGCUGCAUGGCUGUCGUCAGCUCGUGUCGUGAGAUGUUGGGUUAAGUCCCGCAACGAGCGCAACCCUUUUCCUUUACUUGCCAGCAUUUCGGAUGGGAACUUUAAGGAUACUGCCAGUGACAAACUGGAGGAAGGCGGGGACGACGUCAAGUCAUCAUGGCCCUUACGGCCAGGGCUACACACGUGCUACAAUGGUCGGUACAAAGGGUUGCUACACAGCGAUGUGAUGCUAAUCUCAAAAAGCCGAUCGUAGUCCGGAUUGGAGUCUGCAACUCGACUCCAUGAAGUCGGAAUCGCUA